rnacentral:rRNA from 1 species
CUUCCACAAUGGACGCAAGUCUGAUGGAGCAACGCCGCGUGAGUGAAGAAGGUUUUCGGAUCNUAAAGCUCUGUUGUUGGUGAAGNNGGNNNGNGGUAGUAACUGGCCUUUAUUUGACGGUAAUCAACCANNNANANACGGCUAACUACGUGCCAGCAGCCGCGGUAAUACGUAGGUGGCAAGCGUUGUCCGGAUUUAUUGGGCGUAAAGCGAGCGCAGGCGGAAGAAUAAGUCUGAUGUGAAAGCCCUCGGCUUAACCGAGGAAUUGCAUCGGAAACUGUUUUUCUUGAGUGCAGAAGAGGAGAGUGGAACUCCAUGUGUAGCGGUGGAAUGCGUAGAUAUAUGGAAGAACACCAGUGGCGAAGGCGGCUCUCUGGUCUGCAACUGACGCUGAGGCUCGAAAGCAUGGGUAGCGAACAG